UUCUAGGUUUCUUUUGGCAACUGGACUAGAGAAGAGUUAAGCAGCUGCCUUGAACUUGCCAUAACCAUGAAGGCUUGGUGUGUCCUCUUUUUCCUCGCCUUUGUGAUUCUUUCUGAUCUGGGGAAAGCAGAGAGGAUAAUGGAUUCAAGAACAUGCAUUAAAAAUAAAGGAGCUUGCAGAAAGUCGUCCUGUGCUGCCUCUGAAAAGAAGAUAGGACUUUGUCAUGUCAACCAGCCUUGCUGCAAAGCCUAAGGGAAAUGCUUCUGAUCAUGACAUGGAAAAACCAUUGUCUUCGACAUGAAUGCCUGAUGGAAUCUGGAUUAUAUAGAAGCUUUAAAAAAACAUCAGAAAAAUUAUUACUGCUUUGAAUGCUUUCAAACAAUUAUUCUUAU